CGGCGCAUAAGCGAGCGACCGCUAAGCGAGUGGCCGCGAGCGAAAGCAAGCGACCGCGAAGAGCGACUGGCCGCGAGCGAAAGCAAGCGACCGCGAAGAGCGACUGGCCGCGAGCAAGUGACAGCUGAGGAAUGGCCGCGAGCGAAGAAAGGGCCGCGAGCGAAAGCGACUGGCCGCGAGAGCGAGUGGCUGUGAGCAAGUGACCGCGAAGCG
rnacentral:lncRNA from 1 species